GAACCUUCCUGACAACGGGAAGAGGGCUAAAAAAUCUGAAUAAAAGGAACAGCGAUUGUCCAGGUCAGAAGGACAUAAAGCGAAGAUGAGAAAUAAAGAUACUGACAUCUGUCAGUCUGGAAAGGCUUACAAAAGCCUGAGAGCCACACGGAGUCUUUAUUUACCUAUGGAGAGAACCUGGAGCAGCGGUGAGUAACCAAAAUGACUCUCGGAGUGCAACAACAACUCAACCUGGGGGUUUCCAAACCAGCCUGGAAAUAUGGGGGAAAAAAUGUAUCCUCACCUCAAGCUAAUGACCUCCUGUGACACUGUCUACUGUGAUUUCAACCACAGAAGAAGAAGGUCUCAAACAGGAAUGGCCUAUCUAGAGUCAUGCAAAAGGACCUCAACUGGAUUUACAGAACUUACCCGAGCAUCCGGAUCCGGACAUCCGCUCCCCGUUAGCCCCUCGUGACGCUGGCGGAAGUUACCCGCCAGAUGCCCGAGUCCCCUUUGCAAUCUGACCGUUGAAUCCAUCUCUCUCAAAUUGGCAAACCGCCCGCUCAGACGCUCUCCAAGCCCUGGCUGACCUGUCCGUCCUCCAACGCCGCCACUCCAGCUCAAGUCAAGCUGCUGCUCCUUACUUCCGUUAAGGACUCGACAUUUCCUAGCAAACGCCCCCGAAAACCAAAGAAACGGAAACCCAGAAUCUCUUAUUCCCUCCUAGGGGUCACAAAUACCACAACACCCGUAAGUUCCUCCUUUACUCUCUGAUGCAACGCAAAUUUCCCACAAACCUCAAACUCAUCAUCUCCCCUGUUUUUUCGCUGCUCUAACCAGUUUUCCCCCUGCUCAUAAUAAACCUAUUAAACUUUUCCUGUUCUCCUGCC